rnacentral:RNase_P_RNA from 1 species
UGAGUAAGCCAGACAGUCGCUGCUGCUUUUUUAGCAGGAGAGGAAAGUCCGAGCUCCGUAGAGCAGGGUGCUGGGUAACUCCCAGUGGAGGUGACUCUAAGGAAAGUGCAACAGAAAUAUACCGCUCUGUAUUUUUUACAGAGUAAGGAUGGAAAGGCGAGGUAAGAGCUCACCAGCGCAAAGGUGACUUUGCGGCUAUGUAAACCCCAUCUGGAGCAAGAUCGAAUAGGGAGACUUAUGGGGCUGCUCGUCCCGUCUCCGGGUGCAUCGCUUGAAUUUAUUGGAAACAAUAAGUCUAGAUAGAUGACUGUCAAAUACAGAACUCGGCUUAUAGACUUACUCAUACA